CACACACACACACUAUACAGCAAGUCACUGUGUCCGUCUCCUCACUUCUCCUUGUCUGGUGUCUGAUGCAAGGAAUCUGAUGCAAUAUGGGUGCAGAGUUGAGUUCAGCUGCAGCUGAUUGGUCCGUUUCUUUCAGACGCUUCCACACCGCCGCGUCUCACUGUCUGAUUUAAAUCCUACCUUUGUGGCAGGAUCAGAGGGAACAGUAGAGCAGAUCUGCAUUUGAAACCACUAAUGCCUUUUCAGUUGUGAACAGUGAGCCGAGUAACGCCAUCUUUCUUCCCAAAAGAAAAUAAAUGAGCAGCAGUGAGAAAUCCACAUCAGGACAGCAAGGGCAAAUGAAUUACAGCUUCCAGGUGAAGAGCUACAAAGCUGCGCUGCAUUGCUGUUCCUCCAGUUCAGCAGGAUGGAGUUGUGAUCUUCAGGAGCUUCACAAUAUAGUCUGACAUGAAGGACAAAUUUUAUAGAAUUUUGUGCUAAGAUUCUUUCCUACAGUUUAAUCAUUGUAAAAGUCAACAGGAGUCUCAAUGUUUGACUUGCAGCAGUUGUACAGCAAAAAUCACAGAAUCCAUCCACAUUAUAGGAGUAAAUAUUCCACAUCUGAAAUCAUCCACACUUUCAGCAUCUCUCUGAUACACAACACAGUAGUGAAAAAAGCUGUCUUCUCACAUUCUUAUGUAAAAGAAAAUAAUUGUUAAUUUCUUUAUAUUUAUUGUUUGCUUGCUUCUCUGGAGAAAUUUGAACCUUCCUAUUUAAAAGUGUCUCCAUCAGUCAGCGGCACAUGCAGUAAAUUUGUUAGUGUUUUUUCAGUGAAAAUGUCUAUAAGCUAUAUGGCUGAAAAUCCAGGCAUAUCUGAUAUGUUAAUUAUUAUAGGACACUGAACUGUAGAAGUUCCUGAGUGCUGAAUGGCUAGUUAAUUUAGCUAAUGCUAAUGAUGAACAUAUGUCAGUUGUCAUGGAAAUGCUGAAAUAAAUAAGGUUGUACAUCAAGACUCUGAUACUGAAAUCACACUGAGCAAGUUUACUACAGAUUCACUAAACAGCAAGCCAAUGUUCGAUAAAACAUUGAUAUUUAUUGCUCGUGGAAGUUUUUAAUGAAGAUGAAGAUGUAGGAACAUAUGUUUUGCCAUUUUUAUCAUUCAUGAAGUAAUUAAAACAAAACAAACAGUAAAUACUGAACCAGAAAUGAUCAUUUUAUUGCCCUGAAAGAAAAGGGUUGAAAUGAAUGAAUGGAAAUAGUCCAUAACCACUUGAGCCACCACAGUUUCUACUAAUUAAUUUCAAUUCUGUAAUAGACAGAGUGAUGCGUCAUUUGACAAAAAUGGUUUCAGAAAUAAUUUUUCAGCAAGCUGGAAUUCACAGGAUUUAAAAGUUUAACUGUGUUGGAGGUGAGAAAUAUGCUUUUCCAUGUUUCUUGUAACACACCAAGCCUCCAUGUCGCUAAAAAAGGCUUUGCUAAAUAUGCUAACAUGUAGUUAUGUCUAAAAGUGAGCGGUGUAUUUGCGUGGGCUUUAUUGCAGGAGAUCACUCAAAGCAUGGAACGAGACAGAAGCAAAGCGACGUUAAUGACAGGCUGAGGUCAGAGACACUGUCAUCCAGAGCACACACUUCAACAACACCGCCAUCGUUAGCUUUCUUCUCCACUCUGAUCACCAAUUAGAGAAAAACAGACCUCGUCAUUCUGUCUGAGAAAACUCUUAGGCGAGGCUUGUUGUGGUGAGUGUUUAUGGUUUCUGUUAUGUAAGAGACAAUACAGAAUGGAAAAGGACCGAAAGUUUUCCUGAAUUAUCCGACCGCACUAUACAAGCUCGUGACCCUCGUUGUUCAACACUGUGCUGUGGUUAACGCUCUGAGACCAGCUCUGCUUCACUGACGUCAACCGCUCAUGAAAUCCUCACGACAGACUGAAAUCUAUCACAACAUCCUGCUGGGUUCAUUUAUUUGAAUUGUGUUGUGAUGCUGUAGGUUUUAUUUAAACAUACAUUCUUCCAUUUGAGAAUUACUCAAAGUCAUUAGGUACGAUUAUUGUUUAGUUCACCAAAAAAAUAAAUGCAUGGACUGAAAUCUUAUAUAUACAAUUUUUUAUUUGUCUUUUUUUUUGACAGGAGCGUCAGUAGCUCCAGUCUGUUACCUGUUUAAGCCUGUAUGGAAAUCUAAACUAAGUA